rnacentral:rRNA from 1 species
GAUUUCUGACUGACCGUCCUGGCCCGCUUCUUUUACGGGAGUGAGUGCCGGUACGAGUUUGUCAUCCUUCUAGAAAGCCGCGCCUACCGUUCAUUCGUGCGGGCGUGUGCGGUCUAGAUCUUUUACUUUGAAAAAAUUAGAGUGUUUAAAGCAGGCUUACGCUAUGAAUAUAUUAGCAUGGAAUAAUAAUUUAGGACUUUGGUCUUAUUUUGUUGGUUUCUAGGACUAAAGUAAUGAUUGAUAGGGAUAGUUGGGGGUGCUAGUAUUCAGCGGCCAGAGGUGAAAUUCUUGGAUUCGCUGAAGACUAACUUAUGCGAAAGCAUU